rnacentral:rRNA from 1 species
UACAGAGGUCCCAAGCGUUGUUCGGAUUCACUGGGCGUAAAGGGUGCGUAGGUGGUCGGGUAAGUUUGAUGUGAAAUCUCCGGGCUUAACCCGGAAAUGGCAUUGAAUACUAUUCGGCUUGAGAGUUGGAGGGGGGACUGGAAUUCUCGGUGUAGCAGUGAAAUGCGUAGAUAUCGAGAGGAACACCAGUGGCGAAGGCGAGUCCCUGGACAACUUCUGACACUGAGGCACGAAAGCUAGGGGAGCAAACAGG